GUAGGGUGCGAGCGUUAAUCGGAAUUACUGGGCGUAAAGCGUGCGCAGGCGGUUGUGUAAGACAGGUGUGAAAUCCCCGGGCUUAACCUGGGAACUGCGCUUGUGACUGCACAGCUAGAGUAUGGCAGAGGGGGGUGGAAUUCCACGUGUAGCAGUGAAAUGCGUAGAGAUGUGGAGGAACACCGAUGGCGAAGGCAGCCCCCUGGGCCAAUACUGACGCUCAUGCACGAAAGCGUGGGGAGCAAACAGGAUUAGAUACCCUGGUAGUCCACGCCGUAAACGAUGUCAACUAGCCGUUGGGAGCCUUGAGCUCUUAGUGGCGCAGCUAACGCAUUAAGUUGACCGCCUGGGGAGU
rnacentral:rRNA from 1 species